GUGCUCGCUUUGGCAGCACAUAUACUAAAAUUGGAAUGAUACAGAGAAGAUUAGCAUGAAGUAAUGGGCCAAUGACAUGUUUCAGUGAAAAACAAAGUUUGUGAUU